UGAACAGAUUAUGUCUGGAUGAU
rnacentral:snRNA from 1 species